CUGCCUCUCCCCGGAGUGGUUUUCUUGGAAACCCUGGAGCGCAUUUCUUCCAGCCCGGGCGCUGUCACCCUGACAACUGCGACGCGGCGCAGCGCUAGGCGCGCCAAGAAGAGUGUCAGGGUUCGCCUGCUUGAAAUCAUCCAUUCAAGGGCUCUCCGGGUGGAUGGACGGGAAGACAGUGAUAUUUGGAGCCUGCAGGGGAGCAGCCCGGUACUGUGUCUCAGGGUCGGGCACUGCUUCGCCCACCCCUCCCUUCCAGGUUGUCGUCUCAGCUUGUGACGUCCUGGUUCCUUGCUCACGUCCUGCUUUUUACGGUGGUGAAUUCACGCGCCUGGAGUUUCGCCUAUGGGAAUGCGCUGUGCUGACUGCAGUGCUCAGCACUGGAGAUGGAGCCUAGGCGGGGGCACAUGUUCUACCACUGUGCGGCACCUCCAGCCCCAUCCGAGACUUCCUCCUGCAGCCUAAACGUGCCGUCGUGGGGUCACUUGGUUAUUGUCGGCCUCCUUGGAGCUGGACAGUGAAGCCCAGGUCGACAAGUCCUGCUUGUCCCGAUCACCAAUGCACUCAGCACACACUUGGCUCGCUGAGCAUCUGCUGAAUGAAAGGAUAACCCUCCCCGAGGCAAUUCCCAACAUGGAAAAUCUGACUGCACAUCUCCCUCCUGCUGAUCUCUGGCUCUGCGGCCCCUUCCCAGCCUUUUCUAAGCUCUAUCUGAAGUAGGGCAGUGAGAAGCCUUUUCUUUAGCCUGCCGCGUGAGACAGUCCACUUGGCCUGACUGCCAUUACCUGGGCCGGAUGCCCAGCGUACACUCAGGAUGGCACCUCAGAGGCUGAGAAGGGAACACGUGGCUGCUGGGGACAGAGCCCACGAGCCGCUCUGGCUGAGCCUGCGGUCUUCCUUCCACUUCUCGUCUUCUUUUGUCACUGCGGACCAAGCACCCUGUUUCACUUCAAGGUUUAAGUUCAUUGUUGUCCUCUCAACACAUGCGUGACUCAUUUAAACAUUAAGAAAUAUUAGUGCACUCGAAGACUGAUGUCCUUUAGGAGAUCAGAAGGGACCGUAACAGGAGCCCACAGUGCCCUCAGAGAGGCCAGAAGGCCUCUUUCUACUCAGGGAACUCGUUAGACACCCCCAUUUGGCCUUGGCCUCUGUUACUUACCUGUGAGUAUCACACAUGAGCCCUCCCAGUAGAACCAACAUGCAAAAUUACCUGUAAUUUUUUUUUUAAUGAGUCAGGGUCUCACUAAGUCACUAAGUUGCUAAGUUGCCCAGGCUGGGCUUGAGCUUGUGACCCUCCUGCCUCAUAAACACUAUCCUUGA